rnacentral:ncRNA from 2 species
UUAAUCUUUUCGGGGUGCCAUUAUGGCUGAGAGAUUUAUUCAACUCGUAGAACCUGGUCUGGGUAAUUCCAGUGGAGGGAAGCUAAAAAAAUUUAAA